rnacentral:rRNA from 1 species
UACGUAGGGUGCAAGCGUUAAUCGGAAUUACUGGGCGUAAAGCGUGCGCAGGCGGUGAUGUAAGACAGAUGUGAAAUCCCUGGGCUCAACCCAGGAACUGCACUCGAAACUCCCGGUCUUGAGUGGUGGAGAGGGAAGUGGAAUUCCUGGUGUAGAGGUGAAAUUCGUAGAUAUCAGGAGGAACACCAGUGGCGAAGGCGGCUUCCUGGACACCAACUGACGCUGAGACGCGAAAGCGUGGGGAGCAAACAGG